rnacentral:rRNA from 1 species
CACGUAGGGCGCGAGCGUUGUCCGGAAUUAUUGGGCGUAAAGAGCUCGUAGGCGGCCUGUUGCGUCCGCUGUGAAAGCCCGGGGCUUAACCCCCGGGUCGGCAGUGGAUACGGGCAGGCUAGAGGUAGGUAGGGGAGAAUGGAAUUCCCGGUGUAGCGGUGAAAUGCGCAGAUAUCGGGAGGAACACCGGUGGCGAAGGCGGUUCUCUGGGCCUUACCUGACGCUGAGGAGCGAAAGCGUGGGGGAGCGAACAGG